UACGUAGGGGGCGAGCGUUGUCCGGAGUUACUGGGCGUAAAGGGCCCGCAGGCGGUUCGGCGCGUUGGCGGUGCCAGCCCGUUGCUUAACGACGGGAGUGCCGGCAAGACGGUCGGACUGAGAGGGCCUCAGAGGGACAUAGAAUUCCGGGUGGAGUGGUGAAAUGCGUAGAGAUCCGGAGGAAUACCAAAGGCGAAGGCAGUGUCCUGGGAGGCGCCUGACGCUGAGGGGCGAAAGCCAGGGGAGCGAACGGG
rnacentral:rRNA from 1 species